AGUGGUAUGCUGGAAUGGCAGACAGGAUUGUUUUAGAAGCAGUUGGUAUUACCGUAUGGGUUCAAGUCCCAUUGCCGCUA
rnacentral:tRNA from 1 species